UACGAAUGGGGCAAGCGUUGUUCGGAAUCACUGGGCGUAAAGAGUGCGUAGGCGGUAGAGCAAGUCAGAAGUGAAAGCCCCGGGCUUAACCCGGGAACUGCUUUUGAAACUGCUUUACUAGAGUCUUGGAGAGGUUAGCAGAAUUCCGAGUGUAGAGGUGAAAUUCGCAGAUAUUCGGAGGAAUACCAAUGGCGUAGGCAGCUAACUGGACAAGUACUGACGCUGAGGCACGAAAGCGUGGGGAUCAAACAGGAUUAGAUACCCUGGUAGUCCACGCCGUAAACGAUGUAUGCUAGUUGCUGGGGAGUAUUCUCUUCAGUGACGCAGCUAACGCAUUAAGCAUACCGCCUGGGAAGUACGGUCGCAAGAUUAAA
rnacentral:rRNA from 1 species